GAGACAACUAAGGGUCCUCAAAGGAAGUGACAUUUGAAUGCCCUUGACAGGAGUAGGACUGACUGCCUGGAGAGCCAGACUCCUCAGAGACUUAACGGCCAGUAGAGGUCAGCAGGGCAGGAGAGAGAAUUACAAAUUUGUCCCUAGUAAUAUUCUUUGCUCUGUAACCUACUUUUUCUGAUAUUAAUAUAGACAUCCCAUUUUUCUUUGGACAGUAUCAGUUUUAGCACUGUAUGUCUUUUUUCAUUUUUGUAUUUAACCUAUCUCCAUAUGUUAUUUUAAUACUUAGAAUGAUUUUAAUACUUAGAAUUGGUUCCUUUAUAAGUAGCAUAUAGUUCAAUUUUUAUUUCUUUCCCAAUAUGACAAUGUCUACCUUUUAAUCGAGAUAAUAAGUCCAUUCACAUAUAAUGUGAUUAGAAAUAUAUUUAGAUUUAAAUCUACCAUCUUGAUACUUGUUUUCUAUUUGACAAUCUGUUCCUUGUUCCCUUUUUCUGCCUUAUUUUGCAUUAAUUAUUUUGUAUGAUUCCAUUUUAUCCUUUUAUUGGCUUAUUAGUUAUAACUCUUUUUUAUUCUAGGUAUUGCUUUAGGGUUUACAGUAUACAUCUUUAACUUCCCACAGUCUAACUGAAAAUGAUAUUAUACCCAUUGCUAGAGAGCAUACAAUAGGAAUAUAUACAUGUAUGUACACAUAUACAGUAUAUAACACUUUACCUCUAUGGUACACUGUGGUUCACAUACAAGAAGAGUGUGCUUCCAUUUCUCUCCUCAGCCUUUGUAUCACUGCUGUCACAUUUUUACAUGUGAUAUGAGACGCACACUUCAUUUUGAUUAUUUUUAUUUCAAUUGCCAAUUACCUUUUAAUGAUAAGAAGGAAUGUGUAGAUUUACAAAGCUGUCAGUGUUUCUGGUACCCUCCAUUCCUUUGUGCAGACCCAUUUUCCUCUGAUGGAGCUGGAGCUCAUACACCCUCUACCUGGCUGGACCUCACACUCACCAGUACCACAUUUAACUCAACAUAUCAGGGCCACUUGCUUAUGUAACUGCCUCCCAGCACAGCACCCGGCACAUAGCACAGAAAAUGCCAGAACUACUUAAAUCCAGGCUACAGUAUUUUACAGAGAAAUCCAGUAUUUCUCUCCAACAAAUACUUCUUAGUUAUCUGUCACAGUUUCCUCCAAACUCAUAUAUACUAGUCUCUAAAACAGGGUGUUGUGCUAUCAUCACUCUUAAGACACCUAAAAUAUCCUGGUGAUAUCAGGUUAAGUGAUACUGAAUAUUCAUACCAAAACCCUCAGUCUUGAGAACUGCCCCUUCCUGCAACACAGACCACCAGCUCUUCACCAGGGCAGCUGCUCAGUGUGGAGUUGCUGCUAUGAGAUGGCUCGCUGGUUAGGGACCACGUGUCCCACCCCUUCUAUUUCAGGGGACCACAGAACCAAGUCCCAGAUAGUGGCCAGAGGAGGACAUGAUGGAUGACACUCCAGACUCUCUCUUCCUGUGCAUCAUCCUCCCUCUCUCUUCUUCCACACUCCAGAUGGACUUUACCCGCAGUGCCAUCUUGGAAGCUAUUCUACCAGUCAGGAUACCAGAAGGAAAUGGGUGGCUCACUAAGUCAGAAUAAUUCAAGGAGGAUUCAAUAAAGGGAAAAUUUGCAAAAGUGUAGGCAGAGUGUAGGGAAAACACACGUGCAGUAUGAUGGGGUUAGGAACAGCAGAUCUGUUACCACCCCUGGCCUGAAGGGGAUAAAGGGAGGAGGCAGUUGUCAGAACCCAGCAGAAAAGAGUCUUGCAGAAGAGCCAUUCUGAGAUGAAUGGAGGUCUCUUGUUAAGGACACAUCAGCCACAAGGGUCUUUCUGGGAGGACAGGAAAGGGAGGACUGAAGAAAUAAGAGCCCCAGUCGCAUCAUGCUCCAUCUCCUACCAUGCCCCAUGGGCUGAACCCAGCCAGAAGCCACCAGGGAGCUCUAAGAAGUCCCUAGAGGUCAUAUCCCAGGGCAGAGGGCAGGGGGAAAGGAGGGAAGGGGCAACCAACCAUGCACUGACAACAACAGGACAGGGUACCUAUCAUGCUGGUGCUGAAUAAUGACCACAGCACUACCACCAUGCUGCCAAGUGGACUUCAUCCAUACAAGCAAGAAAUGAACCGAUAUUGUGAUGGAAAUUUGGGGUUAUUCCUUUUAUAGAGGCUGUGCCUCUUCACACAGGGUAGGCAGCCACAAGCCUGGCUUUACUCUUACUUCAAAUCGACAUGCCUAAAAAUGAAUUAAUGUUUUCCUAAAAGCCACCUGCUCAAGAUUUCCCUCUUGUCAUCCUCUUUGAAAAUUUUGGGAUCCUAGAAUUAUUGGGAACAACUCUAGAUCUGGAACAAUCCAAAGAUCACUGGACUCCCCUCUCCGAAAAAAAUUUGCCAGCACACACUCCCAUGCCUGCCUGUGCAUCCCUCUCUUUGGUCAGGCCCUGACACAUGCCCUGGCCUAUAUCCCAGGCCAUCUCACAAACUUCAGACUCCCCAAAACACCAUUCUCACCUCAUUCUCUCCCACCAUGACCUAUAGCAGUGGUUUCCAAAAAUAAGCCCACAGUCAAAUCACCUGAGGAAUUUACUUCAAAGACAAUUUCCCAGAAUCCUCCUCCAGAGACUCUGAUUCAGAAGAGAGUGUGGCUCAAAGAGCUAUAUUUUUAACACCUAGGAGAUAUUGAUAUAGUACCACAUUAUGAGAAACACUGGCAUAGAGGAUGAAUUCGGACCUCUCCAGCUUGGCAUGAUUAUCUGUCCAUGGCACCAUCCUUUGAACAUUGUCAACUUCAUCACCAUUAAGACAUACAGACAGACCUCAUGUCAUAUAGAUGGACUCCAGGGAAACACGUGGUCUAGGCUUCUUCCCCCACUUGUUAUGUCUUCCUGCCAUCUUCCAUCUUAAGCAUAAGCUCUCUGGGAGUAGGGUGAAAAUUACCCAGAAAACUAGGAAUAGAAGAGAACUGCCUCAACGUGAUAAAGGAUAUAUAUGAAAAACCCACAGCCAGCUAACAUCAUACUCAAUGGUAAAAGACUGAAAAUUUUCCCCCUAAGAUCAGGAACAAAUCAAGGAUGCCUACUUUCACUAUUGCUAAUUCACCAUUGUACUUGAAGUUCAAGCCAGAGUAAUUAAACAAGAAAAAGAAAUAAAAGACAUCCAGAUGGGGAAGGAAGAAGUAAAAAUAUCUCCAUUUGCAGACAUGAUCCCAUGAAUCUAUAUGUAGAAAAUCCCAAAGAAUCCACAAGAAAGCUACUGAGCUAAUAAAUUAAUUCAUCAAGUUGCAAGUACAAUUUUCAAUGCAAAAUAUUUGUUGUGUUGCUAUACAUCAGCAAUGAACUAUCUGAAAAAGGAAAUUAAGAAAACAAUUCCAUUUACAAUAGCAUCCAAAAGAACAAAAUAGCUAAAAAUAAAUUUAACAAAGAGGUAAAAGACGUGUACACUAAAAACUGUAAAACAUAACUGAAAGAAAUUAAAGAAGACCUAAAUAAAUUAAAAUGCACCCUAUGUUCAUGGAUAAGAAGACUUAAUGUCAUUAAUAUUUUAAUACUAUCCAAAGUGAUUCAGUGCAACACCUAUCAAAAUUCCAAAGAAAUGUAAAAGCUGGUCAUCAAAUUCAUAUGGAACUUCAAGGGGCUCUGAACAGCCAAAACAAUCUUGACAAAGAACAACUUUCCAGUACUCACAUUUUCAAAUAUCAAAACUUACUACAAUGGAAUACAAAUGAAAGUCCAGAAAUAAACUCAUACAUCUUAUGGCCAACCAGUUUUGUGGCAAGAGUGCAAAGACCAUUCAACAGAGAAUAAAUAGUCUCUUCAACAAUUGGUGCUGGGAUAACUAAAUUUCCACGUGCAAAAGAAUGAAGUUAGACCCCUACCUCACACCCUAUAAAACAAUUGACUCAAAAUAGAUCAUUUAUUUAAGAUAAAACCAUAAAAUUCUUAGAAAAAAACAAACAUGACCUUGGAUUUGGCAAUGGAUCUUUAGCUAUAGCACCAAAAUCCCAAGCAAUAACAGAAAAAAAAAUAGAUAAAUUGAGCUUCAUCAAAAUUAAAAUCCUUUGCGCUUCAAAAGACAUUUCAGGGCCGGGCACGGUGGCUCAUGACCAUAAUCCCAGCACUUUGGGAGGCUAAGGUGGAAAGAUCACUUGAGUUCAGGAGUUUGAGACCAGCCUGGGCAACAUGGUGAAACCCUGUCUCUACCCAAAAUACAAAAAUUAGUGAGGCAUGGUGGCAUAUACCUGUAGU
rnacentral:lncRNA from 10 species